AUACGGAGGAUCCGAGCGUUAUCCGGAUUUAUUGGGUUUAAAGGGAGCGUAGAUGGGUUGUUAAGUCAGUUGUGAAAGUUUGCGGCUCAACCGUAAAAUUGCAAUUGAUACUGGCAGUCUUGAGUACAGUUGAGGUAGGCGGAAUUCGUGGUGUAGCGGUGAAAUGCUUAGAUAUCACGAAGAACUCCGAUUGCGAAGGCAGCUUACUAAACUGCAACUGACAUUGAUGCUCGAAAGUGUGGGUAUCAAACAGGAUUAGAUACCCUGGUAGUCCACACGGUAAACGAUGAAUACUCGCUGUAGGCGAUAGACAGUCUGCGGCCACGCGAAAGCAUUAAGUAUUCCACCUGGGGAGUACGCCGGCAACGGUGAA
rnacentral:rRNA from 1 species